rnacentral:lncRNA from 1 species
AUUGUAGAAUCAAACGGGGAUUUCUUCAGACCCCAAAUCAAAUUGAAAAAUCAAAUCCAAAUCGAAAUCAAACGAGGAUUUCAUCGGACCCCAAAUCAAAUUAAAAAAUCAAAACAGGAAUUUCUUCGGACCCCAAAUCCAAAUCGAGAUCAAAAGGGGAUUUCUUCGAACCCAAAAUCAAACCAAAAUCAAAAGGGAAUUUCUUCGGAACCGAACCAAAUAGAACCCAAAACCCAAAUAAACCCAAACCAAACCAAGUCCACAUACAAAGCCAAACGGCCCAAACCUAACCAAACCAAGUCCAAAUAAACAUCCAACCCAAAACCAAAAUAAACCGAAACCAAACCAAGUCCACAAAUAAAAUCUAAACCAAGUCCACAAAUAAAACCAAAACCCAAACCCAAAUCAAACGCAAACCCAACCCAAAUCAAGCCCACAAAUAAAAUCCGAACCCAAAUCCACAAAUAAAACCAAACCUCAUGGACCAAAUCCUAUGAGCCAAAACCAACCUCAUGGACCAAAUCCCAUGAGCCAAAACCAAGUUCAUGAACCAAAUCCCACGUACCAAAAUCAAACCUCAUGGACCAAAUCCCAUGAACCAAAACCAAACCUCAUGGACCAAAUCCCAUGAACCAAAACCAAACCUCAUGGACCAAAUCCCAUGAGCCAAAACCAAACCUCAUGGACCAAAUCCCAUGAACCAACCAAAUUUCAUGGACCGAAUCCCAUGAACCAAAAUCAAACCUCAUGGACCAAAUCCCAUGAACCACAACUAAACCUCAUGGACCAAACCCCACAAACCAUACACCAAACCUUAUGGACCAAAUCCCAUAAACCAUACAUCCAACCUAAUGCCCAAAUCUCAUAAACCAAUGCCCAAAUCCCAUGAACCAAUACCCAGAUCUCAUACCCAUAUCUCAUGAACCAAUUAGACUCUAAUACAUAGAGUUUAAUAUCGAUUAGGUCUUAACACAUAUACUUAGGACCUAAUCAACCUCAAAUCCAACUGAAUCCUAAUACAUAUACUUAGGAUUCAAUGAACCGAGAUACGAUCUAUCUCAUCCAAUCUAUAAAGGUCUCUUAAUCGAAGGUGCCCCAAUCUCAAGGGGGUAAUUAACAGUAGAUGCUUGCAUCUAUUGGAAGCCAUGGACCCGCAAUACUUGAUAUCCACAUACAUAUAAAUACUCAUCUGAAUCAUGAAUACUACCCCACGGCUAAAAUCCAUCGACCGUGCGAGGUGCGUCAUUCGUGGUGGCAGACAAUAUUUUACUUCUAUAAAUCCAAUAAAAAUAGUUUCCCACACUAUUUUUAUUUAUUUUUAUUUUUAUACCAAAAUCUGGUAUGUUACAGAGGAAC